rnacentral:tRNA from 1 species
GCCGGGGUGGCCGAGCGGUAAGGCGCAGGCCUUGAGAGCCUGUGGGCAUUUGCCCGCGCAGGUUCGAAUCCUGCCCCCGGCG